AAAAGUGAAAUAACGGAAUUGGCUGUAGAUGAUACAAAGCAUGAGAGAGAGAUGUUUUGGACCACUGUCACUCACCUGUCAAAGAGCAUGGGAGUUUUUCUAUUUCUGCUGAUUCUGGCAUUUCUCAAGAGCCAUAGUGCAGAAGGAACGGGAUGUUUGAAUGGCUUAACUUCAUCACCCGCAUCCACUUGUGUUGACAACAGAACGUGUGUCGAUGUCGCUUGUGGGCAACAUGAAACAUGCGUAAAUGAGAGUGGCACCUUCAAGUGCAAGUGUUCCGUCGGUUUCACCUACAAAUCCUCCAAGAUGGACAAGUGUG